UUUUGGACAAUGGGCGCAAGCCUGAUCCAGCCAUUCCGCGUGAGUGAAGAAGGCCUUCGGGUUGUAAAGCUCUUUCGCAAGGGAAGCCCCCCUUACUUUCUAAUAAAGAGUGAGGUUGACGGUACCUUGAUAAGAAGCACCGGCUAACUACGUGCCAGCAGCCGCGGUAAUACGUAGGGUGCGAGCGUUAAUCGGAAUCACUGGGCGUAAAGCGUGCGCAGGCGGCUUUGUAAGUCAGAUGUGAAAUCCCCGAGCUCAACUUGGGAACUGCGUUUGAAACUACAAGGCUAGAAUAUGUCAGAGGGGGGUAGAAUUCCACGUGUAGCAGUGAAAUGCGUAGAGAUGUGGAGGAAUACCAAUGGCGAAGGCAGCCCCCGGGAUUGUAUUACGUCAGCAGAA
rnacentral:rRNA from 1 species